GACGAACGCUGGCGGCGUGCUUAACACAUGCAAGUCGAACGGAAAGGCCCUGCUUUUGUGGGGUGCUCGAGUGGCGAACGGGUGAGUAACACGUGAGUAACCUGCCCUUGACUUUGGGAUAACUUCAGGAAACUGGGGCUAAUACCGGAUAGGAGCUCCUGCUGCAUGGUGGGGGUUGGACAGUUUCGGCGGUUGGGGAUGGACUCGCGGCUUAUCAGCUUGUUGGUGGGGUAGUGGCUUUCCAAGGCUUUGACGGGUAGCCGGCCUGAGAGGGUGACCGGCCACAUUGGGACUGAGAUACGGCCCAGACUCCUACGGGAGGCAGCAGUGGGGAAUAUUGCACAAGGGGCGGAAGCCUGAUGCAGCAACGCCGCGUGCGGGAUGACGGCCUUCGGGUUGUAAACCGCUUUCGCCGGUGACGAAGCGUGAGGGACGGUAAUGGGUAAAGAGGCACCGGCUAACUACGUG
rnacentral:rRNA from 1 species